AUGAUGAUUGCCUCUUACAGUGAGCAGAGAGCAAAUGUCUACCAUACGGAGUCAUGGACGAUAGCAAAACUUGACCAACAAUCUUCCUCUGUUGAUUGGUUCUGUAUAAAUAUAAAUCAUCUCUCAUGCCUUCCAUUCGCAUGUUAUAUCGUAGCAUUGUAUAACUCCUACAUAUAUAUGACGAAGAACUAUAUGUGGACCCGCAGCCAAACAAAUAAACUGAACAUGAGCUAUAUGUCGGAACCUCCAUUUGAUGCCGUGCAUGUCAUUAUUGGCCACGAGCUCAGAAACUCUUGGGACGGCCUCUGCAGGCCGCAAUCCUUCACAGGCCAACCAAAAAAGCCACUACCAAGUCACCUAGAGGUAAUAAAAUCUCUUGGUCCCCAGCGCCAUAUAGCAGAGGAGAGAAGCCCCCUGCAUGCUGGUGUCAGAAGCAAUCAACGUCUUGUAGAACAUGCAGGGUGCCCGCGCUGA
rnacentral:rRNA from 1 species